CCUACGGGAGGCUGCAGUGGGGAAUUUUGGACAAUGGGGGCAACCCUGAUCCAGCCAUGCCGCGUGAGUGAAGAAGGCCUUCGGGUUGUAAAGCUCUUUCGGCCGGGAAGAAAUCGCUCAAGCUAAUACCUUGGGUGGAUGACGGUACCGGAAGAAGAAGCACCGGCUAACUACGUGCCAGCAGCCGCGGUAAUACGUAGGGUACUUGCGGUAAUCGGAAUUAGUGGGGGUAAAGCGUGCGCAGGCGGGUGAAAGCCCCGGGCUUAACCGGGGAAGUGCGUUUGUGACUGUAGUGCUCGAGUGCGGCAGAGGGGGGUGGAAUUCCACGUGUAGCAGUGAAAUGCGUAGAGAUGUGGAGGAACACCGAUGGCGAAGGCAGCCCCCUGGGUCGACACUGACGCUCAUGCACGAAAGCGUGGGGAGCAAACAGGAUUAGAUACCCCGGUAGUC
rnacentral:rRNA from 1 species